ACCCCCUGGCAACGGGCAAAGAGAAACCUUGCUGGUAGUGGUGUUCUUCUAUCAGUCAGGGGCAGAGCAGAUGGCAGUCCUUCGUGCAUCCUAGCUUGAUGCCUGGCUUGGUGGCAAAGCUGUUUUAUGCUUAGGACUCAUAA